rnacentral:rRNA from 1 species
GCAAGGGAUCAGUAGAGUGGCAAACGGGUGAGUAACACGUGGGUGACCUGCCUUCGAGUGGGGGAUAACGUCCCGAAAGGGACGCUAAUACCGCAUGACAUCCUGCUUUUGAACAGGCGGAGAUCAAAGCUGGGGAUCGCAAGACCUAGCGCUUGAAGAGGGGCCCGCGUCUGAUUAGCUAGUUGGUGAGGUAACGGCUCACCAAGGCGACGAUCAGUAUCCGGCCUGAGAGGGCGGACGGACACACUGGGACUGAAACACGGUCCAGACUCCUACGGGAGGCAGCAGUGGGGAAUUUUGCGCAAUGGGGGAAACCCUGACGCAGCAACGCCGCGUGGAGGAUGAAAUCCCUUGGGAUGUAAACUCCUUUCGAUAGGGAAGAUAAUGACGGUACCUAUAGAAGAAGCCCCGGCUAACUUCGUGCCAGCAGCCGCGGUAAUACGAGGGGGGCAAGCGUUGUUCGGAUUUAUUGGGCGUAAAGGGUGCGUAGGCGGUUUGGCAAGUCUUGUGUGAAAUCUUUGGGCUCAACCCAAAGUCUGCACAAGAAACUGCCGGGCUUGAGUAUGGGAGAGGUGAGUGGAAUUUCCGGUGUAGCGGUGAAAUGCGUAGAUAUCGGAAGGAACACCUGUGGCGAAAGCGGCUCACUGGACCAUUACUGACGCUGAGGCACGAAAGCUAGGGGAGCAAACAGGAUUAGAUACCCUGGUAGUCCUAGCCUAAACGAUGAUUUGUUUGAUGUGGCAGGUACCCAAUCCUGCCGUGUCGAAGCUAACGCGAUAAACAUCCC